CGUCAUUUGCACCCUCAAGCUAUGCUUGGUAUUGGAGGCCGUCCCGCUGGGGCGCCCCCGAAACGCAGCGGCGACGUAGCCGGACUCCCUGGCGUAGUGACUUAACUCGCCCCGGAGCCGUCGGUCAUGCGUUUGCCGGACAACGCCCAAUAUUAUAUUGAAUCGACCUCGGAUCAGGUAGGACUACCCGCUGAACUUAA
rnacentral:misc_RNA from 1 species